rnacentral:rRNA from 1 species
CGCUGGCGGCGUGCUUAACACAUGCAAGUCGAACGGAAAGGCCCUGCUUUUGUGGGGUGCUCGAGUGGCGAACGGGUGAGUAACACGUGAGUAACCUGCCCUUGACUUUGGGAUAACUUCAGGAAACUGGGGCUAAUACCGGAUAGGAGCUCCUGCUGCAUGGUGGGGGUUGGAAAGUUUCGGCGGUUGGGGAUGGACUCGCGGCUUAUCAGCUUGUUGGUGGGGUAGUGGCUUACCAAGGCUUUGACGGGUAGCCGGCCUGAGAGGGUGACCGGCCACAUUGGGACUGAGAUACGGCCCAGACUCCUACGGGAGGCAGCAGUGGGGAAUAUUGCACAAUGGGCGGAAGCCUGAUGCAGCAACGCCGCGUGCGGGAUGACGGCCUUCGGGUUGUAAACCGCUUUCGCCUGUGACGAAGCGUGAGUGACGGUAAUGGGUAAAGAAGCACCGGCUAACUACGUGCCAGCAGCCGCGGUGAUACGUAGGGUGCGAGCGUUGUCCGGAUUUAUUGGGCGUAAAGGGCUCGUAGGUGGUUGAUCGCGUCGGAAGUGUAAUCUUGGGGCUUAACCCUGAGCGUGCUUUCGAUACGGGUUGACUUGAGGAAGGUAGGGGAGAAUGGAAUUCCUGGUGGAGCGGUGGAAUGCGCAGAUAUCAGGAGGAACACCAGUGGCGAAGGCGGUUCUCUGGGCCUUUCCUGACGCUGAGGAGCGAAAGCGUGGGGAGCGAACAGGCUUAGAUACCGUGGUAGUCCACGCUGUAAACGGUGGGUACUAGGUGUGGGGUCCAUUCCACGGGUUCCGUGCCGUAGCUAACGCUUUAAGUACCCCGCCUGGGGAGUACGGCCGCAAGGCUAAAACUCAAAGGAAUUGACGGGGCCCCGCACAAGCGGCGGAGCAUGCGGAUUAAUUCGAUGCAACGCGUAGAACCUUACCUGGGUUUGACAUGGAUCGGGAGUGCUCAGAGAUGGGUGUGCCUCUUUUGGGGUCGGUUCACAGGUGGUGCAUGGCUGUCGUCAGCUCGUGUCGUGAGAUGUUGGGUUAAGUCCCGCAACGAGCGCAACCCUUGUUCACUGUUGCCAGCACGUUAUGGUGGGGACUCAGUGGAGACCGCCGGGGUCAACUCGGAGGAAGGUGGGGAUGACGUCAAGUCAUCAUGCCCCUUAUGUCCAGGGCUUCACGCAUGCUACAAUGGCUGGUACAGAGAGUGGCGAGCCUGUGAGGGUGAGCGAAUCUCGGAAAGCCGGUCUCAGUUCGGAUUGGGGUCUGCAACUCGACCUCAUGAAGUCGGAGUCGCUAGUAAUCGCAGAUCAGCAACGCUGCGGUGAAUACGUUCCCGGGGCUUGUACACACCGCCCGUCAAGUCAUGAAAGUUGGUAACACCCGAAGCCGGUGGCCUAACCGUUGUGGGGGAGCCGUCGAAGGUGGGACUGGUGAAAA